rnacentral:rRNA from 1 species
UACGUAGGGUGCAAGCGUUGUCCGGAAUUAUUGGGCGUAAAGAGCUCGUAGGCGGCUUGUCGCGUCGGCUGUGAAAACCUGAGGCUCAACCUCGGGCCUGCAGCCGAUACGGGCAGACUAGAGGUAUGCAGGGGAGAAUGGAAUUCCUGGUGUAGCGGUGAAAUGCGCAGAUAUCAGGAGGAACACCGGUGGCGAAGGCGGUUCUCUGGGCAUUACCUGACGCUGAGGAGCGAAAGUGUGGGGAGCGAACAGG